GACAUAGGUUGCGAGCGUUAUUCGGAAUUACUAGGCGUAAAGCGAGUGUAGGCGGACCCUUAAGUCUGACGUUAAAUCUCCUGGCUUAACUAGGAGCUGUCGUCGGAUACUGAGGGCCUCGAAUGGAGUAGGGGGCAGGGGAAUUCCCGGUGUAGCGGUGGAAUGCGUAGAGAUCCGGAAGAACACCGGUGGCGAAGGCGGCCUGCUGGGCAGUAGCUGACGCUGAGGCGCGACAGCGUGGGGAGCAAACAGG
rnacentral:rRNA from 1 species